rnacentral:rRNA from 1 species
GUGAUAUACCGAUGGAAAGCUGCUGUAAGCACGCAAGUUUCCCGUGUUGAUCAUCUUUUCAUACUCGCGAUGAUUUUAAAAGUUUUUCAUCUAAAAUUCAUUCAGCGUAGUAGUUGAACUUCCUGCUGUUUUCACGUUGAACUUCUGUGACGUAUUUUUGUUUGUAAUUUUCUCAUCCAUUCGUUAGUGUUACACAAAUAA